CAUUUACGAUUGGAAUGCGGAGUUGGUCCGAGAUUUCAAUGCUCCAGCUGCAUGAAACGUUUCAAACAUCGACAUCAUCUGCGAGAUCAUCAAAGGAUCCAUCUAUAUGCCAAUUGCACCUUCGAAGCGCUGAACUGAGCUGCAUAUAUGGGACGUGUACGUGUAUGUGUACGUAUGUAUAUAUAUAUUUGUUUUUAUAUUAUAUAUAUUUAUUUAUUUAUUUAUUUAUUUAUUUAUUUAUUUAUUUAUUUAUUUAUUUAUUUAUUCGUACGAACGAAUCACGUGCAAUACUCGUUGUAGAGAUUUUUAUUGUAUCGUAUUUUAACUGAUUAGUUAAUUAAUUAAUUAAUCGAUACCUAUAAAAAAUCUUGAGAUAUUAUUUAGUUAAGUUUGUCUGUGAUCAACCUCUUGAAGAGAAAAAAAAGAUCUUUGCGCGUACUUAAAGUAUUAUAGUUAAUUGAUUAACCAUCGAACAAGUUUCUUUUUUCUUUUUUAAUUUCUUUCUCUUCUCUUUUUAAUCAACGCGUAACGUUAGACAAGAGGGAGAGAGGAAAUAAAGAAAAGAAAAAAAAAGACUUGAGAGGCUCGAGAUAGAUUAAUUAGAACGAUUUAAUACAAUUCGCAGCUUUUUCUUUUUCUUUUUUUUUUUUUUUUUUUUUUUUUUUACUUUAAAGCAGGUUUCACUUUAAGUACGAAAUAUUUAUAGAUUAAAAAAAGAAUAAAGAAGAAGUCGCGAAUUUUUCCAAAUUUUCGAUGUUCGUGGUAAUACGUGUAUAACCGUCGAGUUUGCGUGCCAAAAGGAAGAGAAUAUAUAUAUAUAUAAUAAUAAAUUAAAUAACAAAAAAAUAUGAUACGCUCGAUUUAAAUCUAUGUCCACAAUUACUUUGUUGUUUUAGAACUGCCGCAAGAUAGAAAAAGAAAUUCUUAGGCACGAAAAAUAAAAAAAAAGAAAAACUUGUUCUAUUGCAGAAGGAGAAGGAAAGAAAAAUAAAUAAAUAUAAAUAAACAAUGACACUUAGCUGGGAUAUUAUUUUUUCUUACAUCUAAAAAUUCCAUUCAAUUCAUUAUUUACCCCCAUAAAAAUUUAAACUCAUGCAAACUUCUUUAACGAUAAAUAAAGCAGUAAACAAUUUUCACUGUACCUUCGAUAAUACGAGAAAAAAAAAGAUAAUGAUCAAAUCGUUUAGAGAUCGGACGUAUCAUAUAAAUUCUAUAAUUACUUAUAUAUCUACGACUAUAUAUACAUACA